rnacentral:rRNA from 1 species
UGUGGAGCCGUCCUUGAAAUACCACCCUUGUAGUGUUGAUGUUCUAACGUCGACCCCUAAUCGGGGUUGCGGACAGUGCCUGGUGGGUAGUUUGACUGGGGCGGUCUCCUCCCAAAGAGUAACGGAGGAGCACGAAGGUGGGCUAAUCACGGUUGGACAUCGUGAGGUUAGUGCAAUGGCAUAAGCCCGCUUGACUGCGAGAAUGACAAUUCGAGCAGGUGCGAAAGCAGGUCAUAGUGAUCCGGUGGUUCUGAAUGGAAGGGCCAUCGCUCAACGGAUAAAAGGUACUCCGGGGAUAACAGGCUGAUACCGCCCAAGAGUUCAUAUCGACGGCGGUGUUUGGCACCUCGAUGUCGGCUCAUCACAUCCUGGGGCUGAAGUCGGUCCCAAGGGUAUGGCUGUUCGCCAUUUAAAGUGGUACGCGAGCUGGGUUUAGAACGUCGUGAGACAGUUCGGUCCCUAUCUGCCGUGGGCGUUGGAAGAUUGAAGGGGGCUGCUCCUAGUACGAGAGGACCGGAGUGGACGAACCUCUGGUGUUCGGGUUGUGUCGCCAGACGCAUUGCCCGGUAGCUAAGUUCGGAAUCGAUAACCGCUGAAAGCAUCUAAGCGGGAAGCGAGCCCUGAGAUGAGUCUUCCCUGAUACUUUAAGUAUCCUAAAGGGUUGUCGGAGACUACGACGUUGAUAGGUCAGGUGUGUAAGUGCUGUGAGGCAUUGAGCUAACUGAUACUAAUUGCCCGUGAGGCUUAACCAU